rnacentral:rRNA from 1 species
CAGCCGCCGCGGUAAAACGAGGGGGGCAAGCGUUGUUCGGAAUUAUUGGGCGUAAAGGGUGCGUAGGCGGCUUGACAAGUCUUGUGUGAAAUCUAUGGGCUCAACCCAUAGUCUGCACGAGAAACUGUCGGGCUUGAGAAUGGGAGAGGUGAGUGGAAUUUCCGGUGUAGCGGUGAAAUGCGUAGAUAUCGGAAGGAACACCUGUGGCGAAAGCGGCUCACUGGACCAUUUCUGACGCUGAUGCACGAAAGCUAGGGGAGCAAACAGGAUUAGAUACCCGCGUAGUCCCUGUCUCUUAUAA